rnacentral:rRNA from 1 species
AUUGAACGCUGGCGGCAUGCCUUACACAUGCAAGUCGAACGGUAACAGGUCUUCGGAUGCUGACGAGUGGCGAACGGGUGAGUAAUACAUCGGAACGUGCCUAGUAGUGGGGGAUAACUACUCGAAAGAGUGGCUAAUACCGCAUGAGAUCUACGGAUGAAAGCAGGGUAUCUCAAGACCUUGUGCUACUAGAGCGGCCGAUGGCAGAUUAGGUAGUUGGUGGGAUAAAAGCUCACCAAGCCGACGAUCUGUAGCUGGUCUGAGAGGACGAUCAGCCACACUGGGACUGAGACACGGCCCAGACUCCUACGGGAGGCAGCAGUGGGGAAUUUUGGACAAUGGGCGCAAGCCUGAUCCAGCAAUGCCGCGUGCAGGAUGAAGGCCUUCGGGUUGUAAACUGCUUUUGUACGGAACGAAAAGCCCUGGGUUAAUACCCUGGGGUCAUGACGGUACCGUAAGAAUAAGCACCGGCUAACUACGUGCCAGCCGCCGCGGUAA